UACCCUACGGAUGCUCAGGUCCGCCGCAUCUCCUGGGUCCCGUGGGGUUCGGCCGGCUCGGGAACGGCCGGAGUGGCCUCCUCGCAGGCCGCUCCCAGCCGGCCACCU
rnacentral:sRNA from 1 species